UGUGACGAUAUGGGCUACAAAAACCAUU
rnacentral:piRNA from 1 species